rnacentral:lncRNA from 1 species
GGGUAAGGACGUCCCAAUGAAUCCGUAUUGCAGUGACCGUUCAUAGAGUGGGAGACUGGCACGGUAUUUGAGAGCUCGGCAGCGACACAGACAUUCAUUUGUUUUUUUGUUUUGUACAAGCGGCAGAAGCGACUUUCGAGUGUCUGCACCGGAUAGUUUACUUAUUCGAGACAAUGAAAACAAUUACCAAGAUGUCCUUAAUCCAAAUGAGGAGGAAACGAGGUACAACAUGCAACUUCGAUUGAAGACCUAAAAUCAUGCCUGACAAUAUCACAACGGUAUCCUAAUAUAGUGUGGAUACAGUAGUAGCCUAUUCUUCAACAAUUUAACUGUAUGUGCAUGCUAGUAUUAUUUAUCUAAUUGAUCAAUUACAUUGUAAAUGUGGAUGGGUACGCUAUUUCAUUCAAUAUUUACGUUAUUGUACAAGGUAGACACAGGAAUAGUCUAUAGUCUACAAUAGUAAUGUAAUUGAAUGUGCUAUAGUAUCAUUUCUUUCAUUGAUGAAUACAAUUGUACAUGGGGAUGGGUAGGCUACUGAAUAUAUUGCUGUCUCUGGGAGUAUGUUAAUGACGGCUUUUCAGCUGUUGAACUAUGGCAAUGUCGAAAUAAUUUCUUUUAAUUUCUUUUAGUCAAAAUGUGAUGAGCCAGAGCAACCAAUCAGCUUCACUGUAGGUGCUCAACCCCCCACCCUCACUGUUCUCCCUCCACAAGUAACCACAUCCUCUUCUCCUGUUCAACUACUUUGCCACCACUCUAACAAUGACUGUACAUAUACCCCUGUGCCCAUCUGUGUCACAUGAUCCAUCCAAGACCUCAGCUGGAUGCCUAAAAUGGGAGAAAUGUAAGCAAGAUGCUAUAGUAUGUGUGUAUGGAUGGAGUUCCACGUAAAGACUUGAUAAGAUGGCAAAGGAGAUAGUGAUGAGAGUGAGAGCAUACAGUAUGAAAAUAAAGACCCAUUGGGAUCUAAAAUGAGUGUGGGGUGCCUCUUGUGUCUCCUUUUUGUCCAUUUGAGGAUACUACAGUCACCCCUGGUGGAGGUUGUUGGAACACUGUGAUUUAAGUCUGAGCAGAGGUUGACAAAAACCUUGAAAGGUGG